rnacentral:rRNA from 1 species
GACGAACGCUGGCGGCGUGCUUAACACAUGCAAGUCGAACGGAAAGGCCCUGCUUUUGUGGGGUGCUCGAGUGGCGAACGGGUGAGUAACACGUGAGUAACCUGCCCUUGAUUUUGGGAUAACUUCAGGAAACUGGGGCUAAUAUCGGAUAGGAGCCCCUGCUGCAUGGUGGGGGUUGGAAAGUUUCGGCGGUUGGGGAUGGACUCGCGGCUUAUCAGUUUGUUGGUGGGGUAGUGGCUUACCAAGGCUUUGACGGGUAGCCGGCCUGAGAGGGUGACCGGGCACAUUGGGACUGAGAUACGGCCCAGACUCCUACGGGAGGCAGCAGUGGGGAGUAUUGCACAAUGGGCGGAAGCCUGAUGCAGCAACGCCGCGUGCGGAAUGACGGCCUUCGGGUUGUAAACCGCUUUCGCCUGUGACGAAGCGUGAGUGACGGUAAUGGGUAAAGAAGCACCGGCUAACUACGUG